UUCUAUGGCCAUGCUACCCUGAACACACCCAAUCCUGUCUGAUCUCGGAAGCUAAGCAGGGGCGAGCCUAGUUAGUACUUGGAUUGGAGAUGACCUAGGAAGACCAGGUGCGUUAGGCA
rnacentral:rRNA from 1 species